rnacentral:misc_RNA from 1 species
AUUUUCAGCAUUGUGCUAUUUAUGGAUGAUUUUGAUCGGUUGCCUGUAUGGAUCUACCCUUUUGGGUAGCGCAUGAUUGUUUCGUUGCGGCUUAUUUAGCUUGCUCUGUUAAUGUUAUUGUUGACGGAGCGGCCGAGAUGUCAGCGGAUUCCAAGUGUAUCCAUUUGCGAAGCUGUGGUAAUUCACUUGGAUGUAUGCUGGUUCUCAUGGAUGCGGUCCCUAAUGUGAGCUCUACGGGCUUCUUGUUUGUAGAUGCUGAGAGGUAGACCCUGCAAAGAUCAUUGCUCUAUCGCUUCUGUGAUAUAGUCUUUACUUGUGGAGUUGUGANAGUUCUUGUUCUUUGUUUGCGGCAAUCCUCGUUGACUGAAUGACUUGCGAUAGCUGGUUGCGUUAUAAAAGGACCGUUCCACAUUGGCUAGGCAGAUGGAAACACCCUCCCNNUGNGGUUUGGUUUUGGAGAU